UGCAAGUAGAACGCUGAAGAGAGGAGCUUGCUCUUCUUGGAUGAGUUGCGAACGGGUGAGUAACGCGUAGGUAACCUGCCUUGUAGCGGGGGAUAACUAUUGGAAACGAUAGCUAAUACCGCAUAACAAUGGAUGACACAUGUCAUUUAUUUGAAAGGGGCAAUUGCUCCACUACAAGAUGGACCUGCGUUGUAUUAGCUAGUAGGUGAGGUAAUGGCUCACCUAGGCGACGAUACAUAGCCGACCUGAGAGGGUGAUCGGCCACACUGGGACUGAGACACGGCCCAGACUCCUACGGGAGGCAGCAGUAGGGAAUCUUCGGCAAUGGGGGCAACCCUGACCGAGCAACGCCGCGUGAGUGAAGAAGGUUUUCGGAUCGUAAAGCUCUGUUGUAAGUCAAGAACGGGUGUGAGAGUGGAAAGUUCACACUGUGACGGUAGCUUACCAGAAAGGGACGGCUAACUACGUGCCAGCAGCCGCGGUAAUACGUAGGUCCCGAGCGUUGUCCGGAUUUAUUGGGCGUAAAGCGAGCGCAGGCGGUUUGAUAAGUCUGAAGUUAAAGGCUGUGGCUCAACCAUAGUUCGCUUUGGAAACUGUCAAACUUGAGUGCAGAAGGGGAGAGUGGAAUUCCAUGUGUAGCGGUGAAAUGCGUAGAUAUAUGGAGGAACACCGGUGGCGAAAGCGGCUCUCUGGUCUGUAACUGACGCUGAGGCUCGAAAGCGUGGGGAGCGAACAGGAUUAGAUACCCUGGUAGUCCACGCCGUAAACGAUGAGUGCUAGGUGUUGGAUCCUUUCCGGGAUUCAGUGCCGCAGCUAACGCAUUAAGCACUCCGCCUGGGGAGUACGACCGCAAGGUUGAAACUCAAAGGAAUUGACGGGGGCCCGCACAAGCGGUGGAGCAUGUGGUUUAAUUCGAAGCAACGCGAAGAACCUUACCAGGUCUUGACAUCCCGAUGCUAUUUCUAGAGAUAGAAAGUUACUUCGGUACAUCGGUGACAGGUGGUGCAUGGUUGUCGUCAGCUCGUGUCGUGAGAUGUUGGGUUAAGUCCCGCAACGAGCGCAACCCCUAUUGUUAGUUGCCAUCAUUCAGUUGGGCACUCUAGCGAGACUGCCGGUAAUAAACCGGAGGAAGGUGGGGAUGACGUCAAAUCAUCAUGCCCCUUAUGACCUGGGCUACACACGUGCUACAAUGGUUGGUACAACGAGUUGCGAGUCGGUGACGGCGAGCUAAUCUCUUAAAGCCAAUCUCAGUUCGGAUUGUAGGCUGCAACUCGCCUACAUGAAGUCGGAAUCGCUAGUAAUCGCGGAUCAGCACGCCGCGGUGAAUACGUUCCCGGGCCUUGUACACACCGCCCGUCACACCACGAGAGUUUGUAACACCCGAAGUCGGUGAGGUAACCUUUUGGAGCCAGCC
rnacentral:rRNA from 1 species